GUUGGCCCACUGCUGAAUGGGUUGGAUGUCCUAUUGACAAAGGGGAUAGAAAAGGCCCCAGGCUUCACUAGCGUGGCCUCCCUGGUUUCCAUGCCUAGUGGCAGAGUUCAGGAGAGAGAGGUACAUUAGAAGAACAUAAAAUUAUAGGUCAUUUAAGGAAUCUGCACAUACCUGACCCUGUGAGACCAGACUGGCUGUACCUGAGGGCACUGAGGGAGCUGGGUGAUGUCAUUGCAAGGCCAUUCUACAUCAUUUUUCAAAACUCUUGGCAGCUGGGGAAGGAUCCUGACGACUGCCAUGGAAAAGGCACGUGUCACACCCAUCUUCAAAAAGGGCAAGAAGGAAGAUCCGGGAAAUGACAGACCAGUCAGCCUCACCUCAGUCCCUGGGAAACUUUUGGAGCAGAUCCUCCUUGAAACCAUGUCCAAGGACAUGAAGGCACAAAAAGGACAACAAGGGUUACCAGAUGUUUAGAUGUUUCUGGACAACCCCCUGCACAUGCAGGCCAGGGGAUGGGCUACAGCUGUGGUUAACUCCCUGAUCCACAUGCCAUGCUCCAGGUACCAAGGACUUACUGAGGACAUCAAGUUUGAUGCACAGCAGGAGCCUUCCUUUGAACUUAUUUACUCUCACUGUGCCUGGUGGCUGGUGGAUAAGCUGUGGGUCUGGCUGGUGUAGUCGAGAGCAUUGGAUAGAGCCAUCCUGCAGUUUCUGCAGGAAGAACACAAGAUCCCAGCUGGCCCAAGCUCUCCCUCCUCGCCCAACUUUGGAGACACUUGGGGGGCCCACACUGGAUGAGGUGGCCUCGAAGUGCACUAAGAGCAGUCCCUUGAGUUGCAAGAGCUGCCUGGGAAAGGAACAGCCUGCAAGGGGACGCCACGGUGUGGGUCCUGAGCCUGCUAUGCCUGCAUCGAUGCAGAGGCACGGCACUCCCCGUGAUGGUGAGUCCCUCUGCCCUCAGGGCCUGAGAAGAGGCAGGUGAAAGAGCCAGUGGCUGGGAAGGGGUCUGAUCUUGCCGCUGUGCCCCAAAGCAAGAGGUGAAUGGCAAUGAACACCUGCCUUUGGCUGCAGUUUCUCUUCUUGGCACCAAGCGCUUGUGUUUGGAUUCAAAGUGCGGUAACAAAGCCCUUGCCGGCGAACACAUUUCAACAUGUUAUUAUUCCCAGGCUGGCUUUCAAGAUCCUCUUUCUAUUCCUUCUGUACUGAUUGCUCUUGUUUCUCUUGGCUCCCAGCUCUGGCUUUUCAGGCUUCAUUAACUGGAAUUUAUUAGCAACUUUAAACAAUCUUCGUGCUGCCAAAAAGAGAGAAAGAAAGAAAAGAAGAAAAAAAAGAAAGAAACAAAGAGGAGACACACUAAACUGCAGGCUGGUCCCUGACUGUGUGAGGCCCAGGUCUGAACACCUCUAUCACUGGAGGUUUUCUUUGGAGGAAAGGACCGGUAAGUGCAGACAGAGGAGAAUGCAGACUGAUGGAGAGCUGUCACGGAGGAGACCUCGGUGGUGUUGCCUCUUCAAAGCCUGCUGAGACUGGAGAAUCUGGCCUCUUGGCAGCCUCCGAGCAUUGAGUGCUAAUUGCAUCCGCAACACCUUCCUGAGCAGCUCACAGUAAAAACUAAUGACUAACAGGUCCCAGCACACCUGAGAGGCCCAUUCUCGUCACUGAAUGGAUGGGUAAACAGAGGCACUGGCAGGGAAAAUCACUCUACCAAGACCACACAGUGAGUGAGCAGUUUGAGCUGGAGCAGUCCUGGUGCCCUCAUCUGUGCCGUAACCACAGCGUUGCCUCUGAUCCCUUGUGGGACACAGCCUUUUGGUCUCCAGAGGGGAGAUGAGCUAACGCAGAAAUGUCCUGUGGGACACAGCCGGGCUGGACAUCAUGGUGUGGCUUGGGUGAUUGCUUCACUGUCCUCAAGACCCUCGUGUGCCAUCCUGCUCUCGCUUGUUCUUCACAUGCCCCCCACCUGGCAUGGCUGUGUGCAGAGGACUAACAUACUCAGGGCUCAGGUGGGUCCAGCAACCCAGCUUUAGAGUGCUCCACAGUAGCCUGAAGGAUAUGCAACAAGGCACAUUUGUCCUCAGUGUCCAUGGGACACAUGUGCUUAAUCUACCCAUUUUUGCAGCUUGCUUUCCCCUAUCCAUUAUUCCUGCUCCUUGGUUGAACCCCAGCACCAUGCACAAGCUAAGCCUUGAGUCCUGAUCUCUGCCUUUCAUGAAACUUCACCUUCAUGAGGAGCCUGAGAUGGUGAUAAAAUAGAGUCACAGAAAGAGAAGGACUUGUAAAAGGUGUGGAACACCAGCUUUCCUCCAAGCUGCUGUGACUCUGGACUACUGGGACUAGAUCUAACAAGAGAAAAGAUUGGCAGCAGCAGAGCAGGAGAGGGGAACUAUGAGGAGCUCAUGGAGGAGUCAGAGGAACAUGCACUUUCUCUGACUGUCAAAGAAGAUGAGGGUUACAGAUCACAGACACAUGCGUUGAAGGGCCAGGGGUGUCAGGAGUUUCUGGGAUGUUUCUGAACAUUAGACCAGGGUAAAAAUGUCCCUAAAAUAUAAGAGUUUCCAGGGAAUCUCAAAAGGAGAUUUGAAAAUCUGUGUUGAAUUUGGCAAAUAGUUUUGGCUGAGGAACCUGUAAUUUUUUUCAGAAUGUUCAAGCAUCUUUUUUAAGGCAUCUUUGCAAUAUAGCAAAUACCACUUGAAAUACCAUUUUCUUUUCAAGUUUGACCCAAAGUAAAAGAGUAAAGGUUAAGAAUUAAACUGAAAAUGAAACGUACUUUUCUCUUCCAGGUUAAAAGAACUUUUGGGGGUUGACCAAAGCCCCAGGACAUCACUUUUGGUUCACCUUGAAUUGAAUUUUGCAAGUUUUGUCUUCAGUUGCUCCAGCCUGUUACUCGCCCAGUUUAUCAAGGAUGUAACAGGGAACAUAGCAUAUGAGGCAGGCUGAGGCUGUAAGAUCACCCAAAAUCCCUGGAGAUGAGAAACCUGCUGAAAGGUUUCCAUCUAACUGAAGACAGGCACUUGCAGCAAGGAUGGGCUGUAGCAGAGUCCUCUUCCUUGUCAGCCCUUCUCUGCCUGGAGGUCAGUCAGGUGCAUGGGCAGGUCUUCUUCCUUCCCAGGAGGCACUAACACUGAGCUACCUGGAUUGUCCCUCAUUGCUCAGCAGGUCUUCACACACUUAGCAUGCCCCAGCAUGGGCAGUUCUUCCAUGGAGAAGUAGACAGAAGGCUUGGUCUCCUGCGCUACAUGUCACCCCAGUAGACCCGAGGGACUAUGUUCUGGGUAGAUGAAAUCUGCAGAGAUUUGAGCUGUGAAACCUGAACAAACUUCUGUUGAGGAUGUGUAAACAGGCAGGAUUUGUUUGCUUGAUUCUUGUGCACAUCCUGGCACAGAGGGUGAUCCCAUUCUGAAUGUCAUGGUCCUGAUGUAAUGUUUUGGGAUGAAAGUUUGGUAAAGAUAUAAGUGAAAAGAGCAGGGGAAAUGCCAGGCAAAUUGCAUUACUGGUCAAUGACAGCC